AUUGAACGCUGGCGGCAUGCCUUACACAUGCAAGUCGAACGGUAACAGGCCGCAAGGUGCUGACGAGUGGCGAACGGGUGAGUAAUGCAUCGGAACGUGCCCAGUCGUGGGGGAUAACUGCUCGAAAGAGCAGCUAAUACCGCAUACGACCUGAGGGUGAAAGCGGGGACCGAAGGCCUCGCGCGAUUGGAGCGGCCGAUGUCAGAUUAGCUAGUUGGUGGGGUAAAUGCCUACCAAGGCAACGAUCUGUAGUUGGUCUGAGAGGACGACCAGCCACACUGGGACUGAGACACGGCCCAGACUCCUACGGGAGGCAGCAGUGGGGAAUUUUGGACAAUGGGCGAAAGCCUGAUCCAGCCAUGCCGCGUGCAGGAUGAAGGCCUUCGGGUUGUAAACUGCUUUUGUACGGAACGAAAAGACUCUGGUUAAUACCUGGGGUCCAUGACGGUACCGUAAGAAUAAGCACCGGCUAACUACGUGCCAGCCGCCGCGGUAACAC
rnacentral:rRNA from 1 species